rnacentral:lncRNA from 1 species
AGAACAUUGAGAAGACACAGCUUUUGGAUGAUCACAGAGUUUUCAAUUCUGUUGCACUGAACAGUUUUUGGAUGAUACUAUUGUCUUUAUGUGGUUCUACACAGUAAUAAGUAUUUUCAAACAAUUAGAGCCAGGUACCUUUUGUUAUUGAUGUUUAAUCCAUCUUGUUGGAUUAGUUUUACUGAUUAUAUUAUUUGAAUUGAAAUUAGCAACUGGCUGGGGACUUGAAGGUGGAUGAAGAACCUAUUAUUUUCCUGACAUUGAGAAAUUGUUGUCUGGCGAUAGUGGCAAGCUAAGUUUUCUUUGAGUCGGGUCCUUCAGAAACAAUUUCCCUGUCAUCACAUGGUAGUGAUAAGGUCUACCUUACCAUGGGAUUAUACUGGAUUUUUUGUUGUUUGUAAUCUAAAAUCACUAUCAAUGUCAACUAGGAGGAUAUCCUUCAUUUUUUUUCUUGUCCAAAUCUCAAGCAAGUCUGUGUUUAAGAUUCUAAUAACUGUUUACUACAUUUGAUAGUUGCUGAUCCACUUUCGAGUUUGAAGUCCAUGGGGAUAAUAUGUUGUUACGGUGUCAAGUUGAUGUUCCAAAUCUAGUGCCUUCUACAUACAUCAGACAUGUUAUUUAUCAAAGGCGUCUCCUUUGCUGUCUAGUUACAUCAGUGUUGGUUGGCUUCUGUUGUUUUUUGUUAACAAACCUCUUCAGAAGUUGAAUGAUUUUGAUCUUGUCUUGCAUUUGGUAGAAAACGGGAAGAGGCGAUCAUGGCUAAGAAGGUGCUAUUAAACUAAGAACGGUGCAAGCAACGUAUCAUGUUAUAAGUUAUACAAAUCCAUCUCGACUUACAAAGCGUGUGCCUUUUUCAAGUAUUCAAGUGACCUCUGGAAGGUUUUAUUAGUUUAACUCAAAUGACAACUCAGGAGUCAGGACACUCAGAUAACUGCACGAAGCCGUUACAAGUUUUACAUUCAAGCAUAGAUUUCUAGGUAGUAGGGGGAGAAAUGAGGUAGCAAGUAUAGUUAAAGAGGUAACGAAUGGUCAGCUACUCACAAAUAUCAUUUAAAUCACAAGCAUGGGACACAGUGACUUGAAGGAUUCUUCACCACAUAAAAGAUUUACACUUUCAACAGACGGCAACUCCAUACUCAAAUUCACAGUUCGUGGCUUUAUAAUAAUAUCAUUUGUAUUUAAAAUGAAGACUUGACUACAGAAAUGUAAUCCACUACACUAAUUUCAUAUCAGUUUUCAAUAGGACCAUCACUUCAAAAGACAUUCACGAAAAAUAACAAAUGCAAACCAUUUCAUAAAGAAUUUAGAAUCAAAUAGUGAAUACUAUGAUUCUUUACAUCAUGCUGAAGCUGGUUCUUGGCUCAAAUCGGCCAUUUGCUUGGGAGUAGAUAAAACCAAGUUUCUCCACUUUGAUGUAUACUAAAAUGAACAGAGGAAGGGCAGUAGAGUAGUAGGCCUAAGGACCAAGAAAAUAUCAAAAGACUAGCAUCCAACUUACAUUAAUCUAAGGACAGAUAAUUAUUCAACAUUCUAAAGCUGCCAGUAGAUUGCCGCCAAAGAACUCCAUAGAAAACAUAUCUCAUCAACACCAGUUGCAAAUGAC